rnacentral:rRNA from 1 species
UACGGAGGAUGCAAGCGUUAUCCGGAAUGGUUGGGCGUAAAGCGUCUGUAGGUGGUAGUUGAAGUCUGCUGUUCAAGACCAGGGCUUAACCCUGGACCGGCAGUGGAAACUCAGCUGCUUGAGUGCGGUAGGGGCAGAGGGAAUUCCCGGUGUAGUGGUGAAAUGCGUAGAUAUCGGGAAGAACACCGAUGGCGAAGGCGC